rnacentral:rRNA from 1 species
UACGUAGGGGGCAAGCGUUGUCCGGAUUUACUGGGUGUAAAGGGAGCGCAGGCGGCUAGAUAAGUCAGAGGUGAAAUCCUACAGCUUAACUGUAGAACUGCCUUUGAUACUGUAUAGCUUGAGUACUAGAGAGAGAGACGGAAUUCCAGGUGUAGUGGUGAAAUACGUAGAUAUCUGGAAGAACACCAGAGGCGAAGGCGGUCUCUUGGCUAGUAACUGACGCUGAGGCUCGAAAGCGUGGGGAGCGAACAGG